UGAGCUCCCAGCUCCAUAUGAUUAAGAUCACGUUUCUGCAAAUGUCAUGGCCCAUCUUUUCCACUUCAUCACCCCCAUCUGACAAGAGAUAAGGAUGCCUCCACCUCAGAGAGCUGUAUGUCAAAAAAAAAAAAAAAAGGUCAUUUUUCCUCUUCAGUCUGGAUCAUAGCACAGAAAAAGAUUGAAAUAUUAGACUCGUAAGUUUUGAAAGUUAAUCCUUAUAUUAUUUCAUUUACUUUAUUAUUUUAGCAGCCACUGAGUAAGAUAAAAAAAAUGACACAGUAUUCUAAGCAGUCACCACUUUAGACCUGAAAUUUACAGAAGCAUACAGUUAAUUCAUGUUCAGCAGAACACAUUAAAAUAGUGCACUAAAAACAUGUAAUUGGUUAGUUUUUAAGAAGGCCACACAUUGUUUACAUACACAUUUAAAUUUUGUUAAUGGGUUGUGAACGUAUGUUGCUUUCCUAAAGAAAGUUAGAACUUUAUUUAAUAUUGGUAGCUAGCACUCUAGAAACAUUUAUGAAUUUGACUUGUUUUUUGGUCCUUCAUUGUAAAUACAUGAAAUGAUUUCUAAUUUCUGUGGUACAAACAAGUUUUUUUUUUUUUUUUUUUUU
ensembl:lncRNA